AAGAGGAAUACGUCGAAUUUACAAGUCAC
rnacentral:sRNA from 1 species